rnacentral:tRNA from 1 species
UGGCUCAGUGGUAGAGUGCACGCUUAGCAUGCAUGAGGUCCAGGGUUCAAUUCCCAG